AUACGGAGGGGGCGAGCGUUAUUCGGAAUCAUUGGGCGUAAAGGGCGCGUAGGCGGCCUGACAAGUCAGGGGUGAAAUCCCUCGGCCCAACCGAGGAACUGCCUCUGAAACUGUCAGGCUUGAGGCCGGGAGAGGGUAGUGGAAUUCCCAGUGUAGCGGUGAAAUGCGUAGAUAUUGGGAGGAACACCAGUGGCGAAGGCGGCUACCUGGACCGGUUCUGACGCUGAGGCGCGAAAGUGUGGGGAGCAAACAGGAUUAGAAACCCUAGUAGUCC
rnacentral:rRNA from 1 species